rnacentral:rRNA from 1 species
ACGAACGCUGGCGGCGCGCCUAACACAUGCAAGUCGAACGGAGCUGAGAGAAGCCUGCUUUUCUUAGCUUAGUGGCGAACGGGUGAGUAACGCGUGAGUAACCUGCCCUGGAGUGGGGGACAACAGUUGGAAACGACUGCUAAUACCGCAUAAGCCCACGAUCCGGCAUCGGAUUGAGGGAAAAGGAUUUAUUCGCUUCAGGAUGGACUCGCGUCCAAUUAGCUAGUUGGUGAGGUAACGGCCCACCAAGGCGACGAUUGGUAGCCGGACUGAGAGGUUGAACGGCCACAUUGGGACUGAGACACGGCCCAGACUCCUACGGGAGGCAGCAGUGGGGGAUAUUGCACAAUGGGGGAAACCCUGAUGCAGCGACGCCGCGUGGAGGAAGAAGGUUUUCGGAUUGUAAACUCCUGUCGUUAGGGACGAUAAUGACGGUACCCAACAAGAAAGCACCGGCUAACUACGUG